UGAGGCACGGAGCGGCAACUCACCCAAGGUCAGACCUGUGGCAGAGCUGGGACUAGGACACAUAUCUCCUGCGUGCCAGGCCAGUGCACUACACAUUAGCCUGCACUGCCUCUCUGCAAUACAGUACAGGUGCCAGAGGCAAGAAGCCCCGUCUGUCUCCCUGAGGUACCCUGAGACUUGACUUGCGGAUGUGCAUGAAAACUCUUGGGUCCUGGCAAGUGCAGCUCUACGAGGGGUGGUGUGUUCCUAGGACGUCCCCGGGAGAUCCAGCUCUCGCUCUGUUCUCCGGGCUGAAGGCUGGAUCGGUCCCAGCUGGCCCUGUCUUAGGCUGAGGCUGCCAGGAGGUCCAGCUGCCCACACUGAAACCCGGCCUCCCCUGGGCCACAGAGUUGGGUGCACAAAAGCCCAGGAAAUGCCAAAGGCUCCACAGUUCCCUGGCACUGGCCUUUGUGCCCCAUCAGAUCCUACUGCAGCUCCACAGACUGACCCGACCUCUGCAGACUGACACGGGGGGCCCAGAGCUGAGUCAGAUGCUCCAAGGCUGGACACUGCCAAAUCAUCGACUUCAAGGGUUUACAAACCAAUCAUCGGGCCCCCAGAAAAUCCCAAGAGUGACUUAAAAAAUCAUAAAAAGAAAAGGAGUACUUGUGGCACCUUAGAGACUAACAAA